UACGUAGGGUGCAAACGUUGUUCGGAAUCACUGGGCGUAAAGGGUGCGUAGGCCGCACGGUAAGUCAGAUGUGAAAGCCCGGAGCUCAACUCCGGAACUGCAUCCGAUACUGCCGUGCUUGAGGACUGGAGAGGAGUCUGGAAUUCACAGUGGAGCAGUGAAAUGCGUAGAUAUUGUGAGGAACACUAGUGGCGAAGGCGAGACUCUGGACAGUUCCUGACGCUGAGGCACGAAGGCCAGGGGAGCAAACGGG
rnacentral:rRNA from 1 species